UCUUGGCACAUACUCUCGAAGGUCUUUGUCUUUGGGAGAUGGAUACAAAACCGAGGGCGUAACGCGUGAGAAAAGAGAGAGAGAGAGCGAGACGGGUGGCAUCGCCUAGGGAGGAGAAGCAGAGAGAAGAGGGAGGAGGGGAGGAGAACGAGCUAGGGUUACGUUGUUUAGGGUUUCGUCUUUGCGAUGGACCGUUGGAGCUACGCUGAUGGUAACAUUGCUCGCAUCCUUGACAAUCGCCGGACAGAUCCUGCUCGAGACAUAAACCUCAAGUUGCAAAUGCACUCAUCUUUUAUACAAAGGCUCACCUUGAAGAAGGAAAUGGAGGGUCAUCAAGGCUGUGUCAAUGCAUUGGCGUGGAAUUCUAAAGGCUCUUCUGAUUUCUGGAUCAGAUGAUACAUGU